UACGGAGGAUCCGAGCGUUAUCCGGAUUUAUUGGGUUUAAAGGGUCCGUAGGCGGGAGAUUAAGUCGGUGGUGAAAUUUUGCAGCUCAACUGUAAAAGUGCCAUUGAUACUGGUUUCCUUGAGUGUGGAUGAAGUAGGCGGAAUUUGUGGUGUAGCGGUGAAAUGCAUAGAUAUCACGAGGAACUCCGAUUGCGCAGGCAGCUUACUAAACCAUAACUGACGCUCAGGCACGAAGGCGUGGGGAUCAAACAGGAUUAGAUACCCUGGUA
rnacentral:rRNA from 1 species